UGUCCAGUAGCACCUUAGAGAACAACUACGUUUGUUCUGGGUAUAAGCUUUCAUGUGCAUGCAGACUUCUUCAGAUAGGGUAUCUGCAUAUGGAAUGCAUGCACACGAAAGCUUGCUUCCAGAACAAACUUAGUUGGUCUCUAAGGUGCUACUGGACA